rnacentral:rRNA from 1 species
CCCGCCCUUAAGGAGAUUUGAUCCUGGCUCAGGCUCUACUCGGUUACCCGGGUAGCCAAGUCGGUUACCCGGUUGCCAAGUCGGUUACACGGGGGCCAAGGGUGAAAUUCUGCCGUAUAUCCAUCACACUGGCGGGACGCUCGAGCUUGCGUCUCCAGGGCCCCAUUCGCCCUGUAGUGUGUCGAUAUUACAAUUCACUGGCAUUUCGAUCUGUUCACAGCAGCUCGGUGAACAUGGCGUAGAGAACCUCUUAGGCGAUCUUACCCUACACUUAAGUCGACCUACUGUCCACGCCACUAUCUCCCCUAGUCUUGGCCGAGUCAUGUGACCGCUAAAUAGGCGCACAGCAGGCCCAGUCGACCGCAAUCGCCCCACCUUAUUGCCUCUCGAA